UACGUAGGUGGCAAGCGUUGUCCGGAAUUAUUGGGCGUAAAGCGCGCGCAGGCGGUCUGUCGCGUCGGCUGUGAAAACCCGGGGCUCAACUCCGGGCCUGCAGUCGAUACGGGCAGACUAGAGUGCGGUAGGGGAGACUGGAAUUCCUGGUGUAGCGGUGAAAUGCGCAGAUAUCAGGAGGAACACCGGUGGCGAAGGCGGGUCUCUGGACCAGCACUGACACUGAGGCACGGAAAGCGUGGGGAGCAAACAGG
rnacentral:rRNA from 1 species